UCAGAUGUGAAAAGGAAUAUGGAGUAGUGUUUACAUCUGGUAUCAAUAUCCACAUAAGUGAAAAAUACAUAGAGACAACUUUUUACAUCUGAGCUUAAUAUCCCCGGAUACAAAACUAAACGCGGUGGCAAUCCUGUAAUUAUUUCCAAAAUUCUCUAAAAUAUGUAUACAUCUGGCCCAUAAUAUGCUCAGAUGUAAAAAGUAUUAAAGUAUUUUUUUUUAAUGGAAAUUAUUAUAAGUCACGACAUAACAAAAAACACCUCAUCUUCUCUUCAGCCACGCACGCGAAAUCGAAACCAAACCUAGCCUUCAUCUUCUCCGUUUCAGCAAUCGGUGAUUCUUCGCUACCUCACUUGAUCUAUCGUUCACUCUCUCACUAGAUCGAACUCAUUCUCUCUCUCUCUCUCCCUAUCACACUCGUUCUCUCUCGAACCCUAGCCUCCAAUCCCUUUCACUGAAUCACAAAUUCAAUCCCUAAUUGAAGAAUCAAGGCUUACUGAACCCAAAUCGAAGAUCAGUGAAACGAUUAAGGGUUGUUACAGAGUCAUAAUUGCACCGCCUCUGCUCUCGAUCUAAAACUAGCUAUAAAGGUGGAAAAUAUGAUAAAGCUAAAUGAUGAAUUUGAUUACAAAAGCUUAUCAAGAAGGAUAGACAUAUAAGUAGGUAAACUCAUUAUGCAACAUGAUAGACAGCAGAAGGCAUUUGAGGAUGAGAUUGAAAGCUUAGGUACUGAAGCACAACAUCUGAUACUUGAGGCUUAAAGAAACUUUGUAGAAUCAUUGGAGAUGAUGAUAAUUGACUCUAAAUUACCUUAUCCAAGUGGAACUGCUACAGGUGUUCUUAUUAAUGGAUUCCAUACUCCUUAAGGAAAUGUCAUGGCCAAGUAUGAUUACGAGGCCGAUUAUGUUUGUGUUAUUUGUCUUCUAUAUUUGUAAUUUCAAGAUGAAAACAUAUAAAACUAGUUUGGCAUCUUUGACAGGAAGUAACUUAAGGUUUUCACGCAAUUCUUCUCACUCAGUUUGCUUUGGUCUUUCUUCCAAUGGUUCUAUGCUGGUGGAGACCAAUGUGGAUUUGGUAAGUUUCCUACUUUCGGGUGGAAAGCGUGGAAAAACACGUGUGUGCUUUGAUUCUAUCUCUCUUUUUUUUAAUAGGCAAAUGUUAGUAUAUUAGUGUUAUGUUAGUAUUUUCUCUUUUGUCAGGGUUGAACCGGUCCUUUAACUUCAACUUCUGUAACUCUCUUUUUAGUUUUAUGAAUCAGAACUAUGAAACAUUUGUCGAUUGUAUUGAUUUGAAUGUUUGAUUUUUUUGCGGAUUUUACUUUGAUUUCAGCAUGACUUAUGUUGGAGCAGGAAUGAUCUGUUCUCAUCUUGUCAAUUUAUCAUUGUUUUUCGGUGUUGUGGUUUCAUGGGGCAUUAUGUGGCCAUUGAUCAGAGUACUUAAAGGAAGUUGGUUCUCUGAAAGUUUACCGGAGAGUAGCAUGAAGAGUCUUAAUGGUUAUAAGGUUUUUAUUUCCAUUGCAUUAAUCCUUGGUGAUGAACUCUACAAUUUUAUCAAAAUUAUAUAUUUUAGUGCCUUUUUAUCUUCUCUUUAUUUCUUGGUUUUGUUUCCCUUUUCUAUUAUGUUAAUGGUGUUUCCCUUGUUGAUGACUUUCUAUAUAUAAAGUCUUAGUGUAUGGAGAUUGUCCAUUUCUUGUUUCAUACCUUCUUGAUUUUUCAGCAUCAACCUCGGGAGUAGAUGGGAGCUUGUCGGUAUCUAGAUUUCCCGUUGAUCAUGAAAUCAAUUUGAGGAUUUAUUUGUAGAUGGAUUCUGUUGUAAAUUCAACCAAUGAGGUGUUCAAUGAUCCCACGACAUUAACAAAGGAGGAGCUGUAUGAUUUGCGAGACCGCUGGGCAACUUGUUUUCUUGACCUAUAUAAUCCUGAGGUAGAUUAUGAUGAUGCCGAUGA